UUAGUGAUUAAUGAGAAUGGCCCAGUUUACUCUGGACAAUGCCGCUCCUGACCAGGUGUAUCCGGAUCAUAUAAGAAAGCAAGCGGAGAGCCUCUAAUCCCAGCACUCCAGAAGCAGAGGAAGGCUCAUCUCUGAGUUCAAGGCCAGCCCCUUAUCGACAGAAGGACCUCCAGGCCAGCCAUGGCUACAUAACAAAACCCUGUCUUGGAAAAAUCCACAGCAACUCUGCUCUUGACAGUCUGUCAGCAAAGGGUAUGAACACACUGGGGGCACGCUCACCACAGUGUCACUCAGCACGCACAGGGACAGACUGCUGAGGCCAGGGUGAUGGCUCGGGGGCUAAGAGCACUCACUGCUCUUGCAGAGGACCUGGGUUCGGUUCCCAGUGCUUCAUCAUGGAUCCAGGACAUCCAGUCCUUUUUCUGCCCUACUCUGGUACCAGGCACACACUGAGUUCACAUUCAUACAUACAGGCAAAAUGCUCACGCACAUAAAAUAAAAAGUUCUCUGAAUUCAAGGCCAGCCUGGUCUACGCAUCAUCCAGGACAGCCGGGGCUACACAGAGAAACCUUGUCUCAAAGGUAAAUAAAUAAUAAAUCUUCAAAACAAAAGAACAGACUGCUGAAGCAUGGAGCUACCUGGGUGGAUUGUGAACACACAAAGGAACGGUUCCCACCCUGCAUGCUGGUGAUCUUCUUACGUCAACUCUGAUGAUCACACUAGUGGGAGAAACCAGAGCAGCGGAUGCUUCCAUGGACACAGUGACUGAAUGGCAUGGGUGUUCUGGGCUGCUAGAAUGUUCUUUGCCUCUGCAAAGCAUCUUGGGUAAUACAGUUAUGGGUGUUUGCAAGAACUCAGCAUAUGUGCAGCCAUGAUUAGUGCCUGAACAUCAAUUUAUUAUUUAAAAAAACAAACCUACAGGCAAACUUUUUUUUUUUUUUUGGAGACAGGGUCUCAGUAUGUUGCCCUGGCUGGGCUGAGACUCACAUGUCGAUCAGAUUGCUCUCAAAUCACAGAGCUCUGCCUGCCUGUGCCUCCUGCGUGCUGGGACUACGUGUGUGACCACGUGUGUGACCGUACAGCAAGUUCUCUAAAAUGGUGUGUCUGCUGGCCUAUCCAGGGUGAAGCUGUGGUCAUCACCAUCAUCUGGGCCUAACGCUGUGAUAGUUACCCUAAAAGCACCAUGGGCAGCUGAUGGUGUCCAGUCCUCCACUGCCUGGGCAGGCAGCAGUGGGGCAGGCGGGGUCUCUGUGGGCCCGGCCCAUCCUCCUCUUUCCAGUAGCAGCCUUGGUCUGCAAGCCUGCAAAGAUGCAAGGCCUUUAGGCUUUCUCCACAGCUUUCAGCAAAGCCUGCACGGUGCCUCGCCUUUUCUCCAAGAACACCAAGUGUUUGCGAGUGUGCCGAGGAAGCACUAGGAGGCCUACAGACUUCCCUCUAGUCAAAGGUUCCUGUCAACAGUUGAGGAUGAUAUCAGAGCAGAUAUCAGCCCUGACUCCUGGUUACCAAAACUCUUCCACGUUUGUGGGCCUGAAUCCUGACUUGGAGGAGCCCAAGGAACAGGUGAUUUCUCAUUGCCAGUCCCUGAAAGCUGAACUGUGUGGCCCUCACAGCCAGCGGAGGAUACUAGCCACUGGACCGCGGAGACACGGGAACUCAGCCCACAGGCAAGCCCAGUGGGCUACUGGGACCUUUACGCACACAGAGAUGAGAGGGCAGGGCUCACUCACUUCCAGAAUCGCCCGGGUGAGCACCAAGCCCCUAUGCCACGGUGCCUGAUGUGUUGGCCAUACAGUCCUAUUCCCCCCUCACACCUGACGCCAUCAUGGGACUUCCCACCGCCAAAGGACUAAAUUUCCAUGCAUCAAGGCAUGGACUGGGGCGUGUGGCUGCCAGCUGAGGACUUUGGAACUGUCCCUGGAUCCUGAGAGCUCUGAUCUCUCGAGAAUUAAGGCUUGGUGGAGUCAGAAUCUGAUGACAUUGAGAGGUGAUAAGAAGUAGAUGGCCAGGCCUUGAGGAAAUAGCUCAUCCUGAGAACACGGUCCUGUGCCUUGCCCCCUCUCCUCCUGUACCUGCUUCAGCCCACCACGAGUUGGGGUUAUUCUUAUGAGAGAAGAUCUUUCUCGUGACGAUCUUGCUGCAGAUCUUUCCCGCACUCCCGGCAGGGUGCGCAGCCGCAGCGCUUGUGCACACUCACGACCCGGCCUCCCUGAUAACCCGCGGCACAGCCUGGACAGAGGAAGCAUCGCUGUUGCACGUGAAACAGACACCUGCACUGCUUUACAGAGGUGCUGAAGGUGACUCUCUUUCGUGAUGGCCUAGUCUGUGGAGUCUGAGAAACUGCCAGGCCCUGAGGUGGGAGCCAAGCCUCUCUGUGUACACUGGUGUCCAAUUAUGCUGAAUCUCUGUACACCCUGUCCGCGGAGGCCCUUUGAACCCAGCACCAAAGCAACCUGAAUACUUCAAAAUGCAAGAGAUAAAGAGAUUUUUAAAAAGUAAAUCAUUAAAACAACAACAACAAAAAGAUGCUACAAGCCGAGCACAGUAGGGCAUGCCUAAAACCCCAGCAUUCACAGAGGCAGAGGCAGGUGGAUCUUCAUGAGUUUGAGGCCAGCCUGGUCCAGGACAGCCAAGACUACACAGAGAUCCCGUCUCAAAAAAGAGUGAAAGCCACACCUAUAAUUCUACUGCUUCAGAGAAUGAGGCACAGAAAUUGUAACUUCAAAGCCAGCCUGGGCCUCACAGUGAGUUCAAGGUUUAGGCCAUACAGUAAAACCUUCUCUCAAUACACACCUAAAUAAAUAAAUAAAUAAAU